AACAUCGCGCACCUGCGGGAACCUGCGGAAGGAUCAUUACCGAGUUAGGGUCUUUUAGGCCCGACCUCCAACCCUUUGUUAACUAUACCAUGUUGCUUUGGUGGGCCCGCCUUUAGGGGCCGCCGGGGACUGAUGCCCCUGGUCAGUGCCUGCCAGUAGCCUUCUCAAAUUCUUUUAUAAUUGUUGUCUGAGUAUAGAUAUAAAUCGUUAAAACUUUUAACAACGGAUCUCAGAUCGGAA
rnacentral:misc_RNA from 1 species